UAAAUAUUUUAUUUUAAUAAACAUGAAAACUGUAUUUUAAAAUGUGUGUGUAAAUGUUCAAUGUGUUUGGGUAUUCUUUGUGUUUUUAUAAUAUUUUAUAUUAUUAAACAAACUACAAAGUCAAAUAAUACUCAUAUCUCAUCGGUGGAUAGCAUAGUUUUAUAUUUGCAUCGCCGACCGAUGUCUGAUAUCAAAGCGUGAUGCGACUAAAAGUCUAUAACCGGUGGCUGGUGCCCAGUGUGUAUACUGACCGAAAUUAUUAAUAACCUGCCCCAUGUAUCCUGCCCGACGUUAUCCAGGCCUAUAAAGCUGAUCCUGCACACUUCAUUGCCUGUAAAAAAUUUCAACUCUUAAAAAAAUUGUGAUUGUUAAAUUUCUUUUGGGUGUAACUCGCUGCAGUCAGUGCAACUCAGACAUCCCUGUAGGCAAUCCGUCUACAUAGGAUCGCGGACAAAGUGCGACAGCAUAAUAUCAAGUUUCGUCGGUUAAAUUGAGAUUUACGGACUACGGUGUGGUGAUGGCGGCGCGGAUACGUGUUACACGACUAAUACGCGUUCUCAAAAGACGCCCAACGUUCACUUAUUAAUUCGGCGCUCACCUAUCCACGACUCUUGAUGGCUGCUGAUUUUGAUGGUCGAUCGGUCGUCCUUGAGCUGCGGUAACAGAACGGCCGAAAACCCGACGGUCAUCCCGGAACCGAGUGUCACUAUCAGAGGUCCGGACGCG